CCUUCAAAGGAUCGAUAGGGAAGCGGCUUCAGUAAGAGGAUAGAAUCGAUUGCGUUGGGAAAGGUUUAUCGAAAGAACGUCCAACUGUUCAUACGGAUCAUGGGUCAAAGUUGAAUUUUUGCUCUAAUGAGGGAACAUUCCUUCGUAGAAAAAUUAGGGACGAUAAGGAAAACAUUAGGGCGAUUAAUAGUGAUUCCGAAAAAGAAGUUCUGCGAAUCAAUAUUGAAGAAGAAGAAGAAGAGGAUGAAGAUGAAGAAGGAGAUACAGGGGAUGAAGUAGUAGAGGGGAUAUACUAAACCAACGGAAGACGAAAGCAGUUCCAAUAGCCUGGAUGUAUUGCAAAGGAGCCGAACUGACUUAUAUUUGAAUUGUAAUUCCAAAGAAGAACAACGCUCCACCAGAUAAUAAAACAUUGCACAUCCAAAGUGAAACACAUUUCCCUUGACACUUUCUGUUCCUCCGUACAUCCGACGAUACGUCUUACAUGGAUAGUACAAAUGCCAGACCAUCAACGAGAUUAAUAUAUGGAAACAUUUUCCUUUUUACAUUUAUGUUUAAAUGGAAAAUCAAUCAAUGCUGUGUUUAUUUAAUGGUAAGAUAUUUUACAGAUUAUAUGCAGUCGAAGAAAGUAUUAUUAUUUAUAAGUGAAUUUAUCUCAAAUAUUCUAAAUGGUAUGAAUCCCAAAUUGGAGUAAUUAUCCGGUAACUUCUAUAAUAUGGAAAUGGAAUUUUCUAAUAAAUCUUAUACAAAUAUAGUGCUAAAUUUAAAGAAUAUUAAUGGAAUAAUAGAAUGAUCAGUGAUAAAGGGUGUUUCAAUCGUUUCUCUUAUUUGUAAAGCUGUUGUUUGGCACGUAUGAUAGCUAGGGAUUAUUUCGCGUAUGAGACGCACUUGCGUAUUACUGGGUCGAAAAUCACGGAAGGAAUGACUUAACCUAGUUUUAUUAGUCCCAUGUUAGCAGGAUAGAAGACCAAGCUUCGUAAAAUCUAAUUCCCUAACUAGAACGCAUGGGGAUAAAUAAUUUCCUCUCUCCUAUAGUUAUGUAAUUAUAUGUAUAUAUAUUCUAUGUUCACGCGAAAUUAUCUGUGUAAUAUAUCUUGGAAUUUCCUAAUGAGAAUCUUACAAUAAUUCGUCUAUUUUUUAAUCGAAAUAAUAAUAUAAAACUGUAAUUAUUUACGAUAUAAUUAACUAUUAUAAUAAUAAUUAUUGUAAUUAUCAAGACUAAUUAAUCGGAUAUUCAUAUAGGAAAUUCGCACUGUUACUUCUUUCGUAAGUCUACCUUAUACUUACUAGUUAUAUUUAAUAGAUUAAAUGUUUAUUUAUUGGAAAAGAGAUUGGAUUACAAUCUCGCUAAGUAGAUACAUGUCGAAGAACUUUAAACGGAAAUGAAAGUAGCUAAUUUUCUUACCGUAAAUAAUUUCUUCGAAGAAAAUGUACAUUGGAGUAAAUUUUUUUCGAAUUUAAGUUUAUCUUAAUAUAUCGAAAUAAAGAACGAACAUUUUCUUAUAAAUACAAA